UACGGAGGGUGCGAGCGUUGUCCGGAAUCACUGGGCGUAAAGGGCGCGUAGGUGGCGCGACAAGUCAACGGUGAAAGCCCGGGGCUCAACCCCGGGUCGGCCGUCGAUACUGUUGGGCUUGAGCACUGUAGAGGCAGAUGGAAUUCCGGGUGUAGCGGUGGAAUGCGUAGAGAUCCGGAAGAACACCGGUGGCGAAGGCGGUCUGCUGGGCAGUAGCUGACACUGAUGCGCGACAGCGUGGGGAGCAAACAGG
rnacentral:rRNA from 1 species